UGACUCCUGGCUCCUUGCACACAUGCCC
rnacentral:piRNA from 1 species